AGAGUUUGAUCCUGGCUCAGAAUCAACGCUGGCGGCGCGCCUAACACAUGCAAGUCGAACGAGAAAGCCCGCAAGGGUGAGUAAAGUGGCGUACGGGUGAGUAACACGUGGAUUAUCUACCCUCUAGUGGGGAAUACCGUUGGGAAACCGACGACAAUACCGCAUAAGCUCGAGAGAGGAAAGCAGCAAUGCGCUGGAGGAGGAGUCCGCGGCUGAUUAGCUAGUUGGUGAGGUAAUGGCUCACCAAGGCUUAGAUCAGUAGCCGGCCUGAGAGGGCACACGGCCACACUGGCACUGAAACACGGGCCAGACUCCUACGGGAGGCAGCAGUGGGGAAUCUUGCACAAUGGGGGCAACCCUGAUGCAGCGACGCCGCGUGAGCGAUGAAGCCCUUCGGGGUGUAAAGCUCUUU
rnacentral:rRNA from 1 species